UGGGGAAUAUUGCACAAUGGAGGGAACUCUGAUGCAGCGACGCCGCGUGAACGAAGAAGGCUUUCGAGUCGUAAAGUUCUUUUAUAUGGGAAGAUAAUGACGGUACCAUAAGAAAAAGCCCCGGCUAACUACGUGCCAGCAGCCGCGGUAAUACGUAGGGGGCUAGCGUUGUCCGGAAUCACUGGGCGUAAAGGGUUCGCAGGCGGAAAUGCAAGUCAGGUGUAAAAGGCAGUAGCUUAACUACUGUAAGCAUUUGAAACUGCAUAUCUUGAGAAGAGUAGAGGUAAGUGGAAUUUUUAGUGUAGCGGUGAAAUGCGUAGAUAUUAAAAAGAAUACCGGUGGCGAAGGCGACGUACUGGGCUCAUUCUGACGCUGAGGAACGAAAGCGUGGGUAGCAAACAGGA
rnacentral:rRNA from 1 species